UACGUAGGGUGCAAGCGUUAAUCGGAAUACUGGGCGUAAAGCGUGCGCAGGCGGUUUUAUAAGUUUGUCGUGAAAGCCCCGGGCUCAACCUGGGAAUUGCGAUGAAGACUGUAAGGCUAGAGUGUGUCAGAGGGGGGUAGAAUUCCACGUGUAGCAGUGAAAUGCGUAGAUAUGUGGAGGAACACCGAUGGCGAAGGCAGCCCCCCUGGGAUAACACUGACGCUCAUGCACGAAAGCGUGGGGAGCAAACAGG
rnacentral:rRNA from 1 species